rnacentral:rRNA from 1 species
UACAGAGGGUGCGAGCGUUGUUCGGAAUUAUUGGGCGUAAAGAGCGCGCAGGCGGUCGGCCAAGUCGAGUGUGAAAGCCCCCGGCUCAACUGGGGAGGGUCAUUCGAUACUGGUCGACUCGAAGGCAGGAGAGGGAAGCGGAAUUCCCGGUGUAGUGGUGAAAUGCGUAGAUAUCGGGAGGAACACCAGUGGCGAAGGCGGCUUCCUGGCCUGUUCUUGACGCUGAGGCGCGAAAGCUAGGGGAGCAAACGGG